CACACACACACACACACACACUUCCUUAGGGUUUCUCUGUGUAGUCCUGACUGUCCUGAAACUCAUUCUGCAGACCAGGCUGUCCUUGAAUUUAGAGACACACCUGCUUCUACCUCCCUUGUGUGCCACCACAACCCCGCCAUUGAAUGUUUGGUAUACAUUUUCAUUAGCUGCCUUUGUUGCACUGAGAUAUUAAAAAUAUUAAAUUUAAAAUAUUUAAAUGACGUCUAACGUGUGUGUCUCUAUGAACAUCAGAUGCAUGCAGAUGCCUGGAGAUACCAACAGAAGGCAUAAGGUCCCCUGGAACUAGAGUUAUAGGCAAUUGUGAACUACCAUGUGGGUGCUGGACUCACAGCUGGGUCCUUAACAAGAGCAGUAAGGACUCUUAACCAGCAAGGAACUUCUCUAGCCCCUCUAGUUUUCAUUUCUUAAAAGAAAAUCAUCAACAGCUACUACAUGUUGGUAAAGAUGGCCCGUGCUUCUAGAAAGAUGAUCACAGGAUCCCCCUUCUUUACCCAGCUAUUAUGGUGAAUGGUGUUGAUUGAUCAAUAGCUGUGGCCUGAUCUGCAGUUCCAAGAGAGACCCUACUUGCUCAUGAUUUACUAUUCUCUUUAGAUUUUACUAUAUCUAAUUUGCAAAUAUUUUCAAAAGAAGCUUCGCAUCUGUAAGGAAUUGUAUUUACUUUUCUUCUAAUACCUUGAAAUGAUUUUGGUAGCCUAGGUUAGUCUUGCACGAACUUUGUGGCUCAAAGUGACUUCUACUCCAAGAGCUGCCCUCUCAGACAUCUGAGGGGUUAGAGGCUUGGGGCACCAUGGUUGGCUUUUAAGUUAUCCUUUUAAAAUUUAGCAUUGGAAUUACGUUAACUUCAUAAAAAGAGUCAUGAGAUGUUCCAUUUGUCUUUGUUUUCUGAGUUUGUGUAGACAUAGUAUCAUUUUUAUUUUAACUUAGAUGCUUGAUUGAAUUUACUAGUGAAGCCAUCUGGACCUGGUGCUUAUGUGUGUGCAUGCAGAUAUUUUAAAUUACAAAUUCAAUUCCUUUAAUAGAUGCAGAGAUACCAAGAUUUCCUACUUCUUCUUGCACUAAUUUUGGUGACUUCUGCUUAAAAAAAUUUUUUUUUUGAUUCUUUGAGGCUAUCUUACACACAUACAAUGCAUUCUGACCAAGUUCCCCCCUACUUCUUCCCCUAACUCCUCCUAGAUACUUCCUCCCUCUCCCUCCCUUCAGUAACUUGGGUAUCCCUCCACCCCAAGGAAUGUGCUUAUUUUUCUAAGUUUCUGAACUGAUUACAAUUGUAUAUUAGGUACGUUUGUCACUUCAAUAUUCCUGUUGAGACGGUUGUGAUGUUCUCACGUGUAGAUGCUGGUGUGUUGUGUUUUCUCGCUUGCCUUGUUAUUGGCUUCCGGUUGGUUGAAUUAUCCUUUGGGAAGGAGACAUUAUCCCUUGUGUUUUCAUUGCUUCGAGAUGUACUGAGAUUUGUUCUGUGGGCCAGCUUGUGGUGGGUCUAUCUUGAUGCAUGUUCUAUAGACACUACUGAAAUAUUUACAUUCUGUAAUUUUUUGUUAUUGUUUCUUUCUAUCUUAUUAGUGGGGUUUCUUUUGCUCAAUAAAGCACCAUGACCAAUAGCAGCCUGAGGAGGGAAAGGAAAGGGUUUAUUCCAGCUUGCAACUCUUAGGUCACACACCAUCACUGAUAGAAGCAAAGGCUUGAGGCAGAAACGAGCAGAAGCCACAGAGAAAGGCUGCUUCCUGGCUUGCUCCUCAUGACUUGCUCAGCCUGCUUUCUUAAUCACCCCAGGAUCACCAGCCCACGGGUGGCGCCACCCACAGUAGCCUGGGACCUCUCACAUAGAUCAUUAAGACAGUAUCCCAUUGACUUGUCUACAGGCCAAUCUGUGGAGGCAAUUUCUCAAUCAAGAGUCCCUCUUCUCCCAUACGUCUAUGUCUGUGUCAAGUUGAAGAAAAUUAACCAGGACAGUUUCAUAAAAGACAAUUAGGUUAAGUCACUUGAUAGUGUUGCUCAAAUCUUUGAUACCUUUAAUAAUUUUUUUUUUUGCUUACUUGUUUUGAUUUGGACUUGAAAUGUCCCCAGUAUGUUCAUGUGUUCAGUGUUUGGUUCCUAAUUGGAAGUGUAAUUUUGGAAGUACUUGGAGCUUUAGGAAGUGGUGCUGAGCUUGGAGGAAGUAGGACACUGGAGAUGUACCAUGGAGGCUGAAGAUGUAUGUGAUUCAAAGUCCACCAGGGAAGUCUCCUGGUGUUCCACAUUCACACUGCCAUGAAGCUCUGGUCAAGUGCAUGGGCCAGAUCAUCUGAAACCAUAGGCUAAAAUAACUUCUUCCUCCUUUGGUUUGUCUCUCUUUGGCAUUUUGGUCACAACUAUGCAAAAGUUACUAAUAUACUGCAUAUUCAUCAAUGACUGGGGAAGGAAUGUUAAAAUCUUUAACCAUACAGUUUGUUCAUUUCUCACUGUCAAUUCUUAUUUGGAUAUUUGUGCACUUAUCAGACACCUAUGUAUUUAGGACUAUUACAUUUUGAUAAACAGAUCUUGCUACCGUUGUGACAUCAGUGCCUUGAGGGUUUGCGUGCUAGACAUGGACAUUUCCUAACACCAUUGCCCCCAUUUCCUCUGUCCUUCCCACCUCCCCUCCGUCCAUUCUUUCACUCUGUCGGGAUCUUCAUAUGCUAAGGUGUGUUGAAUGCUGCUAUUCAUUCUAUCCAACAAUCUCUUCCUUUUAAUUGGGAAUUGAAAAAAUCUUGAGAUUUUAUUUACUUUUAUUUUAUGUGUAUGAGUGUUUGCCUGAGUGUGUAUCUGUGCACCUCAUGUGUGCAGGGUAUCAGAUUCACUGGGCCUGGAAUUCUAGAUGGUUAUGAGUCAUCGUGUAGGUGUUGGGAAACUGAACCUGGGUUCUCUGGAAGAGCUUCAAGGGCUCUUAACCACCAGGCCACCACUUCAGCCCCGUACUACGGAGCUUUUGAUCUAUUUACACUCAGUACAAUCUUUGAUAUGAAGUUACCAUCUUGCUCUUUAUUUCCUGCUUGUCUCCGUCACUGUAUCUUAUAUGUUCUCUUUCUUGGUUCCUUUUGUUGAAGUUACUACUUUGUUCUUUAUAUCCUGAUUGUCUCUAUUUGUUCUCUUUCCUGGCUCCUUUUUGUAUCAACAAUUUAAAUAGUUCAUUCUACAUUUUCUGGUGGAUUCUGGUUUAUAUCACUCUGUACUAUCGUUGUUAUUUUUAAUUGUUGCUCUAUUAGGACUAUUCAUCUUUAUCUUAUCCAAGUCUACCUUGAACUAAUGUUGCAUUACAUCACAAGGCAGCCUACUUACAUGCUUUGCCUUUUAUACUAUGGUGCUUACCACUUCUACAUAUACUGAAGAGACUUACUGCAGAACACUGGAAAGACCAUUUUUGCCUGAAGUAGCCCAUUAACUUUUAAAAUAGUUGAUGAGAAAGAAACGUAUCUUUUGUAUUUACCACACUUACACUAUUUUGAUUAUUCAACAUCUUCCCCUAUGGAUCUUACACUUCCCUUUGAUGUCAUUUUCCACUGGCGUGAAUUCUUUUUCAACAUUUUUUUUCCAGAACGGGUUUAUUUGUGGCAAACUUCUUCAGGUUUCAUCUGUCUAUACAAUGUCUUAGUUGUAUUUUCUCAACCAUAUUCUUCUGGCUGUGUGCAUCCUCAUAGCUGGGUAAGCGCUUUCUUUUAGCAUUUCAAAGACGCUCGCCCACCCCCAUCUCCUGUCCCCUACUGUUUUUUGCUGAGAAUGAGUGAUAAUUCUCCAUAUGGAUUAUUCAUUCUCUGCAUCUCCCUCCUCCCGUUUUAAGAUUGAUUCUCCACCUUUGAUUUUGUAGGAUUUUUGGCAAUAUCAUUUCUUGGUGUGAUUUUCUUUGUAUUUUUAUUGUCUGGGUUGCUGAAGAUCAUGGAUCUGUGAAAUGAUGCUUUUGAACGAAUUUAGAAAAAGACAAAUCAAUAUUUCUUUAAUUAUUUUCCUUCUUUCUUCUCUGGAAUGCCAAUUUUAUAUAUGGUGCAAUCUCUUUCUAUAUAGUUUGUAUGGGCUCAAUAUAUUGUCAAGGGAGCCCUGUUUAUUUUUAAUCAGUUUUUUUUUUUUUGUAUUUCACUUGAACAAUUUCUGGUGUGUGUGUGUGUGUGGGGGGCAUGGCUAUGGGUGUGCAAGUGUUUGUUUGUGUGCGCAUGUGGCAGCCAGAGGUUGUCAGUGGCUGUCUCUCUCAAUUACUCUUCCCCUUAGUUUUAAAAACAGAGUCUCUCACAGGACUUGAAGCUCAGAGGUUAGAGUAGGCUGGCUAUUCAGUGAACUUCAGGGAUCUACCAGUCUCUAUCUCCCCAACACUGAGAUUUCAAGUUUGCAUUGCUAUCCUGGAUUUUUACAUGGAUGCUGGAGAUUCAAACUCAUGGCUUUUAUGUUUGCAUGUGACACACUUUCUGAGCCCUAUUCUGAACUCCUACCACUUGAAUCACUUCUCUCAACUGUCUCUGAGUGUGAUGGUCCUUUCCCUGUUGUGUGUCAAACCUUCUAUUGAUCCCACACAACAAGGUAUAUGUGCCAGACACUUCAUUUAUCAGUUCUAAAAUAUCCAUUUGGUUUCUUUAAAGACAUUUCCAAAUCUUGCCUGAGAAAACAAAAUCUGUCAUUAUUUACAUUCUUUUCAGCAAAAUUACUUAACAGGUUCAAUGUUAUUAUAAACUUACUGCCUUCUAACACUGCGGGUAGAUGUAGAUCUGUUGGUUUCUGAUUAUUUUCAUGGUUUUCUCUUUGUGUGUCAUCUAGUAAUUUGCACACUAGACAUUGUGGGUAGAUUGCUUUAGAGACUCAGGAUAGCUUAUCUUCCUCUAGUGUGGAUCAGGGUUCUAGGCGCAGUUAAAUUUAUAGAGAAGCACUUUGGUUUUGUGGCAGUAAGGGUGGAUAUAUUUUAGUUUGGCUUACAGUCCUGGGCUAUGAGCUAACUCCCAAAGAAUGACACUUCUGUGGCUUCGGUGGGAAGCCCAGGUUGUUUAUGGCUCGUUCCUCCCAGGCAGUGGCAGCUGCUGCGAUGGUUGCUCCACUCUCUCCGCUAUUGUUUUCUUCCCAUCACUCCUGUGCUCUGUAUUCAUUCACAUGACAUUGAAAAUUCAGCCUAGGAUUUGAGGAACACGUACAUAAAAACCUAGGGCUGACUCUCGAAGUCCUUUCUUCAGACUUUCCCUUCCUGUUUCCAGCCUUUUUGGCAACCCUGAAUUCUGGUUUCUGGCUCAUUAACUCGAUGCUUGCUGGUCUCUAAUUGAACUCCAGCCUCAAUAUUCUUUUAGAACUUUGAGGUGUCCACGUGGGAGACGGGUCAGGUAAAUAUGUGCCUGUUUCACCAAGUGUGACUUCAAGGCUGUACACUCCCCAGCCGCUGGCUGCUUUGCUUUCUCUGUGGCAUACUCAGACACCGACUAUAAAAUCUUGUAUCUAGACUUCGUGAGAGCUGUUUCCAGGAGGGCUGGAUGGUUAUUAGCUGCUCAGCACUACUGGGAACUUAAACUCUCGAUGCCUAUUUAAUAUAAUAUUCACAGGCCUCUCUUGAUGCAGGCAUUCCUGUUUUUAUUUUAUUUAUGGGGAAAAAAGUUUCAGAAAAAGGUUAAAUGCAUUGUAUGGGAUCGCGCUUCAGUGAGGGCUGGAGCCAGCAGGUGGUUCCAGGAAUUUCCGGUGCCAACCUUAAGUUUGUCCCUGCCUCACAACCCCUGUAUCUAGAAAGGAUCAAAUAGAAAGAACCAGAAGCCGGCCUUGGAGGACCUCCAGGUCUCCUCCCCUUCUUUCCCAUCUUCCUCUUCGGCAUCUGUGAACAGGCCUCACUUCUACACGAGCUUCCCGGUGCUCCUGGAGGGGCCGCUGCUUCCCUCUGGACCUUAUUGGAGAACAUUUGAGGGUCGAUCACCUCUAAGCAGAAGGCCAGGAUUCCAGAAUUUAGGAUGCAUUACAUAGCCAUGUUGCUCAAGAUCGGUUUCUAAAAGCAGCGAAUGGGAUUUGGGAAGCGAUGCAUGAAGUCCUUUGGCAGAGGCUGGGGAUCCAAGAUGAUGUGAGUUAAUUUUGUGAUAGUAAUGGGGGAAUUUUUUUGUCUUUUAAUUCUUUCGCUGUCUCUCCUUGUGAAUGUAUAUGUGUAUGUGCAUAUUUGUGGUAUGUAUUAGGUGUGUGUAAAUAUUCAUGUGUGUGGCUACAUGUAUGGGUGUGCACUUGCAUAUGUACAAGUGCCUGCAGAAACCAGAUGGUUUCCUGAGGAACCACCUGACUUGUUUUUUGAGAUAAGAUCUCACACUGCGACCUGUGACUUGAUUAUUCUCCUAAACUUGCUAGUGAGCAAACUCUAAGGCUUGCUUGUCUUGUCUUUAUCUACUGGAAGUGGGAUUACAGGAGCCUACCACAGAGCCUGGCAUUUUUUUUUUAAAUGUAGGUUCUGAGGAUUGAACUCAGAUCUUCAUGCUUGCCUGGCAAGCACUUAACUGCCCAAGCUACGUUCCCAGCCCCUUGACUUAGUUUUCUUCUACUAAGAUAUGUCAUCAAUGCCUGGUGGUGGUGGCGCACACCUUUCCUCCCAGCAUUUGGGAGGCAGAGGCAGAGAGACAGAGGCAGAGAGACAGAGGCAGGGAGACAGAGGCAGGGAGACAGAGGCAGAGAGGCAGAGGCAGAGGCAGAGGCAGAGGCAGAGGCAGAGGCAGAGGCAGAGGCAGAGGCAGAGGCAGAGGCAGAGGCAGAGGCAGAGGCAGAGGCAGAGGCAGAGGCAGAGGCAGAGGCAGAGGCAGAGGCAGAGGUAGAGGCAGAGAGGCAGAGGCAGGUGGAUCUCUGUGAGUCUGAGACCUGCCUGGUUUACAGAGCUAGUUCCAGGACAGCUAGGGCUACACAGAGAAACCCUGUCUCAGGGGGGAAAAAAGAUGAGUCAUCAAAAUGGGUGACAGGUGGUGUAGCCUGAUAGAGCUCUUUCAAUAGCUCAACUUUGGUCCAGGCCAGCUGCUUCCAUGUUUGUCCCUCCCAGAGGUUUUGAUUCAGAGCCUGGCUGCUCUGCUGUGGCUGCCUUGUCCUUUGCUCCAUAAGCAUCGCUGAAGCCUCAUACACACAGCAGCAGCUGGGCAACCAUAGCGCACACAGCAACGGCUCUCGCUUACCAAUGAGUGUCUGCAAGUGGGUUGGAGUAUUUGUUUAUCUGAGGCAAGUGGAGCCUCAAGGGACCCUGAAGCACUGUCUUCAGCUAUCUGAAGGACUGUCUCAGGGAAGAAGAAUUAGGUUUGUUUUCUGACAUCCCAAGGGAAAGACAGACACAGGAGUAGUUGUCAUAAGGGAGGCAGAGAUGAAGAUAACAUUUCUUGAUGUUAUAGGCACUGUGGCGGGCAUGCUAAAUGCACUACCUUAUUUAAUCCUAAAGAGGGAUUGUUCUCAACACAAAGAGAGCUUUCUAAUCCACCAGUAUAAUUGUAAUGACAUUAUCCUUAUACUCUUGGGAGUGAAUCCUCAUUGGCUGGGCUUGGAGGAGAGAGAUUCAGGUAUUGGCUGUGCCUUCGGACGAGAUAACCUCUAAAGUCUUUUCAGACCAUCAGUUGGAACUCUAGAAUGACACAGCAGAAUGACCUAAACCCUGCUCUCAACUCCACUGUGUCAUGGGCUGCGGUGGCCUCGGGUGUUCUAUGGUGUCUUCACUCCCACCCCUCAAGCCCAGAUAUAAGUCUUCUCAUCUGACUUGAUAGAUUCGGUGCUUCCUGGUCACGGCUAUGCUCAUUCACAUCACAUACAGUCCCCCAUCCGUUCCUCCGUCCUUACUCUCCACCCACGUCCCUUUCUUUCAGCAAGGUCUCAGGCAUCCCAGGCUGGCCUCAGGCUCACGGAGGCUAAGGAGGAUGUUGAGGAUCGGAUCCUUCUGCCUCCACUUGCCAAGUGCUAGGAUUUGUACCACCACACACCGUUUUAGGUGGUGCUGGGGAUCGAACCCUGGACUUCAUAAUGCAGGGCAAGCACUUUACCAAUCGUGCCAUAUCUCCAGCUUUAACUCUGUUUUCUUUUCUUUUCUUUUCUUUUCUUUUCUUUUCUUUUCUUUUCUUUUCUUUUCUUUUCUUUUCUUUUUUUUUCUGGUUCUCUUUACCAUUUGAGUUUAUGGGCCAGAGAAGCUCUGCCUUUCUGGCUAGGAGUUAGGGAGAUCGCUUAGUGCUUGCUUUGCAAACAUAAGGACUUGAGUGCAAAGCUCACAUAGGAAGCUGAGUGUGGCUGUGUGUACCUGUAACUCCAGCACCAGGGGAGUGUGACAAGUAGAUCCUGGGAGCUCUCUCUCUCUCUCCCUCCCUCCCUCCCUCCCUCCCUCCCUCCCUCCCUCCCUCCCUCCCUCUCUCUCUCUCUCUCUCUCUCUCUCUCUCUCUCUCUCGUCUAUUCACACAUGUGAGUUAGAAGGUCACUCGCUCGAUCCUGAGGUCAGGUUCUAGGAGAGAGAGCUAGAGAGCUAGGAUCACGAAUGGUAGAGUUCAUGAUUAUAACAGACGGUGGAUGAGCCAGUCAGGAAGAGAGGAGAAACACCAGGAUUGAGCCUUGAACCUUGCAUUUCCUGACAACCCUGUAUCACAGAGCUGGUGAUAACUGGCUUAAAUUUGUGAGCAAAUCAAAGGAAGGUCUGUAUUCUCUUUCCCUCGCCCUACACUGCUUGAGGGUCUUUCCACAGGCUUUUCAUUUUAUAUAACGAAGUUUAUAUAAAGGAAAUGACUGCCCCCUCCUCUGUCUGGUGUCAUCCCUGUGUACUUCAACCUCUAAAGGGUUCAGACAGUCCCAGACCUAAGGUCUGAGACUUACCAGCAGGUGGCACUACAGCCCGAUGUGCUCUUUUGGAGUUCCAGCUGUCCUUAGUGGCUCAAGCUUGUAUCUUAGGCCCUGGUCCAUCUUUCGGGACCUAUCCCUGUUGUAUCUGCAGCCCACUGUCUGAGGCUCCAAGUUAGAAGGAGAUAUUGAGAGGAUGCUGGAAGAACUUUGGGCUUGGGAGGAGAGGAAAGGAGAGUGAGACAGGGAGGCCUACCUGGCAUACCUGAUGGCUACCCAACACCUACCCAACCCUUCUAUCAACUUUUUAACUUUCUGCUUCAGGGAGUGGACAUGUUGCUCUCUUGAAUGGUAUCCCUCUAGGUCCUGGAAAACACAUCCAGAGUCCAUGGCAAGGCUAAGCCCUUAGUCUUGUUCUAGCCUGGCUUCUGAUCUCUUCCCCUCAUGUUGUGGAGUCCUGGCCUUGUUACGAGGUAUACUCUGUGGUUCAGACUAAGCAGGAGUUGACUCAGGCACUGUUGAACUACUGAGUUGGGGGAACUUGAACAUGCGACUUGGCCUUUCUGAUGUGUCAUGCAAGCAUGAGCUCCGAUCUUGAACCCCUCAGAGUAAUGCCGAAAGAUUAACCUUGAUAAGGGCAUAUCUGUGUAACCCAGUUGUGACCCUCAGAUGAUAUCUCUCCAGUCCGCUUGACAUCACAACGGUAUUCUUUGCUGUGAGCAAAGAAUUGGGUAGAAAGAAUACAAGGGAGGAAGGGUUAUGUUAGCUCACACUUUCAGAGGCUGACAGCCUAUGACGACAGGGAAGACCUGGUAGAGUGGCUUGGUUCAUAGAGGCAGGAGCUAGAGGAAGCUGCUUAUUAUUGCACGAUGCUAAGCAGGAGGCAGGAAUCAAGCCAGAAGAAGGGCCAAGCUAUACCUCAAGCUACACUCCCCAGUGGCCUCUGUCCAGCAGCAAGGUCUCAGAGGGUCCAUAAUUUCCCUAAACAGCACCGCCAUUUGGAGACCAAGCUUUAACACACAUGAGCCUAUGGGGACAGUUCCCACUCAAACCAUAAUAAAGAACUUGUAUAAAAUGCAGCUGGUGGUUAAAUUCUGCAGAAAGCCCACUGGCACAAGAUCAUGGGACCCAGGGAAGAUGUGCGGGUGAGCUGGGACAGGCUCUCUUGUCUCUUCACCUCACCUCAUCUUGUCCCGUCUCCUCUCCUUUUCUGCUGCCUCCUUGAUCGCAGCUCAGGUGCCUUCCGACUUUCUCCAGAAGCAGCAUCAGGAUAUUCCUAGGCACCGCCAUCCUCCUCUAAAGUCCUGGCCUGCGGCCACAUCCUCUCUCACAGAGUCUCACCUCACCACGGUGUUUUCCUAGGGGAAAGGCAGCUCUCUCCUGAAGAGGAGUUCUCAAGGCAGGAUGUUAAGGUUUUUCUGCCUGGUUGCAUAACAAGAUGGAACAUCCCCAAGAGUGCCUGAUGCAUAAUGGAUGUUGAAGAAGUCAAAAUCAUAGUCUCCAUGGGUGUCCUUAUCACCAUCCUGUGUCCCUGACUCAGGGGAGGCCUCAUGGGACACAGGCAGUGGAACUGACAGGCCACCUGGCUUUGCUCUGCUAUCAGCGACUCAGAAAUGCAAUCUGAGGCUUGCUUUGCACGUAUGAAGAUGCCGGUUUGAUCCCUAGGAUUCAUGUCUUAAAAAAACCAACCAAACGAAAAAACUCAACUGAGUGUGUUCUCAUGUGAUUGUGGAGAUGGACAGACAGGCGCAUUUGAGUGUAUAACUGCACACAUAUGAGCAUACACAGAUACACAAACACAUAUUGGUAAACUGUAAACUGUAGCACACCCUUAUUUUGUUUGGCUUCUGGGGUCUUCUAUCUGCAGCCCUAUCUGCUUGGUUUUGGACCACGUUGCCAAGACUGUAUCAGCAAUGAGAUGCACUGGCUGAGAUUGAGAGGAGAGAGUUGCUGAGCCAACAUGGCAGUCCCUCAGAGCCUUACUUAUAAAAUCCAGCUUCUUCAAAGCCGUCUGUAAAUCAGGGUGCAGGGCCAGCCAGGGCCCAGGGUACUGAGUGGGCGGGUUGCUCUCAGUCUACUUGCCUGCUUUAAUAUUUGGCUUAGAGUGGGUUUUCUUCCUUCUUUCUGUCUGGAGAACUAGAUCAGGACAAGACCAGCGUGACCCUGGCUCAGAGCCAGCAGCAAGCCUUCAUACCCCAGGGGGAAAAAUUGCCUUAGGUGCCAAAGGGGAAAUUCCCUCUCUGUCAUGUCUCUUAGAGAAUGCAGUCAAAGGGGUGCUCAGCUCCUCAGCAAAGCUCCCACCAAGGAGGAGUUGCUCAGUCAAGGUGACAUGGCCUCUUCAAGGAUGCAGGAGGUGGGGGUUAGGGUGUAGUCCAGGCAGUUUCUCAUCAGGAGCCUCAGGCCAGUGGUUCAUCUUGACUGGACAAGUGCGUCGUCCACCCCCAAAAUAUUUCAGGUCCCAGAGCCUACAGAGAUGAAUGAAGUGGGGUGCUCACACUCAAGAGGCUUCCGUACCCCUGAAGUCCUAUUAUUAUUACCUUGAGGCACGUGCCAUUUCUCUUUCCCAUUCUCUAGACAGCAAAGCUGAGGGUUAGCAGGGAGGAUACAGUGCUCUGGUCUCCAUGGGUCUGUACUGUGGCAGGCUUAGGACUGGACCACAUUUGGGUCUUUGACUAGUCUAUAGUUAGGUUUCCUCGUGUGACCUUGAAUGUGGCAUUCAAACUCUGUCCUAUCACUAAGGGGUCUUGUGCAUUGAGGAGACCCAGGUUCUAGAACCUGAGCUUCUCCUGCUUUUAGCCAUGCCUUGUGAAUCCUUCCCCUACUUUCUAAAACAUGUGCACACUUCCAUCUUGCCCACCCAGGAGGAGGAGAAAUCAGAGCCUGCUUUUUGAGCUGUAAUUUUGAGUUUGAUGUUUUUAUUGCAUCCUGCCGAGUGAUUUAAGUGUGUUCGCAAAUGAUUAUACUGUGCUCCUUUUUAAACAAUUCUAAAAUCAAAUAAAACACUAGAAUCAAGUCCACCAAUCAGCUGGUAACACAGGCAUCUGAGGGGUCUCAGGGGACACAUGUCCUUUCAGGCAGCCAGAAGGGAGGAGGCACAGUCUUAACGCCUCUGCCCUGUUGCACUGAAAGUUCAUCCCACAAGGUCAGAGCAUGGAGGAUGGGCUCAGGACCAAGCUAUAGUUGCUGUUAAGAGAUGGGGCAAUAGAAUCUCUCAGUUGGUCUGUACCUAUUAUAUGCCUGGUUUUGAGGUCAUCGCUUUAAAACCUCUCAACGAUUUGGUGUGAAGUUCUACUGCCCAAAUGUCCACCUGUCGGCUAACGGGCAUUGGAAGUAUAGCUGGCAUUUGAGUUCUUGCUCAGGCCAGGUACAGUUCAAAGCAUUUUUAUGGUGUAGACUUACUGAAUCCCCAUACUUGCCAUAUGGGUUGAUGCUUUAGUGAUCUCUGUUGAAUCUGUCUAGAUUGGUCCACAGAGGGGAAGCAACUCUGUUCGCAUGGCUAGCGGGUGGCAGAGAAGGGAUUAAAACCCAGAUGUCUGUCCUUCUCAAAGGCUACCUUCCAAGGACUGUGUAUUCUAAUAUACCACACAGGGUGGGGUCCACACGGAACCGAGGUCAUUACCAUGUGGAUAGAUGUAGGCUGAUGCAAAAGUUUAAAGGAUGGCAACAGAGGCUCUUCAGACCACCUCCUUCCCAAUAUGGAAAAUAUUGAAUGGUUUACUUUUAUAACAAUCCUGCCAGCAAAUGUCUGUUUUCCCCACUUCACAAAGGAGCAAGCUUCAGUAUUAGUUUAUCUAAUACCAAACUGCUGAGAUGUAGCAGGGGUGGGAUUUGAACUAGGGUCUACCUGACUGCAGUGUCAGGACCCAUCUAAAUCCAGGCUCUGCUGCUGACCCACUGUUCUCGCUAGAGGCUUCACCUGAAGCACAUGGGCUCAGCCAAGACAACCUUAAGGUGCAGUGUAGAGCAGAUGAUGCCCUAGAAGGCACACCACGUGACUGUGCCCUUUCCCUUCAUCCUGGGUGUAUGACAGGCUUUACCAGUCAAUCAAAGAUGCCCCGCCCCCCAAGACUUGUCUAACUACCGCCACUUAACUGAAAUUGGAAUUGAGAGGAAGCAUUCCACGCUGAGAGGCUUCAAAUGCAAACCACACAUGGCUAAAUAUUCUCAGGGAAUGGGCAAAGCUUAUUAUGCACUAUAGAAACACAGAGUGAGCUCCCCUUCCCUGUAAGAGCAGUGGCUGGAUUUGCUCUCUUAAGCAAGAGUAUACCCAAUUAGUGUUUGGACCAAUGGGACCACAAGGGGAUUUCACUCAGAAGUCAGCCACUCCCUGCCCGCGUUUUGAAGUUGCCAGUGCUGUUUGCUGUGCCUGCUGCCAGGGACUCAGAAGCAGCAGUGGCUGAUGUAGCACUUUACCAGGCAGCAAAGAUCAAUUUCAAAAGUGAGUUAUCCGUGAUUUGUGACAAAUAAUAAAAACCAUAAGUUCGUAUCCAUUGCAAACCGCCUGUGAGUGGAAGAGGAUGUGACAAGAACAGAAAAUGUAAAUUGGCUCUGCAGAAGAAGAAUGUUGCUGUGUUUUUGAAAGAUGGCAAUGCAUCUUGCUCAAAUGUAACUUUUCACUUCGGGGCGCGCUAGCUCUACUCGGUGGCAAAUGAGAAUGUUUGUAGAUAUGAUGUCAUGGCUACAGAAACAGCUCUGCAGUUUUAUUUUCAUCUAUCUAUCUGUCCAACCAUCUACCAUCUGCCCACCUGUUAAUCUCUUUAGUAUCUAUCCAUCCAUCCAUCCAUCCAUCCACCCACCCACGCAUCAAUUCUUCCAAUAUCAUCCAUCCAUUUAUCUACCCUCCAAUAUGCAUCUAUCCAUCUAUCAAGUUCAUUCAUCCACCUAAGCAACCAUCCAUCCAUUCAUUUAUAAUCCAUCCAUCCCUUUAUAAUCUAUCCAUUCAACCAACCAUCUAUCCAUCUAUAAUCCAUCCAUCUAUCCAUCCAUCCAUCCAUCCAUCCAUCCAUCCAUCAUCCAUCCAUCCAUCCAUUCAUCCAUCAUCCAUCCAUCACAUCUUCCAUGUGUCCAGGAAACAGUACCCAGUGUUUCAGGAACACUGCUGGGAACUGACAAGUUGAGGAUGAAUAGCAUGGUUCCUAUGCCUGUGGGAUAAGAAUCUAGAAAGAGUAGACAUGACCUAACAAGCCAGGUACUGUAGAGGAACAAUAAAAUACAGGGGUGCAGGGCCUCAGAGAGGGCAUGAUCAGACCAACUCAGGAGGAAGGCACAGGAGAGACUUCAUGAGGAACUGAGUCUUGAAUGCAGGAAGAUCAGGCAUGGGGAGGGUGUUUUAAUGAGAAGAAACAGCAUGGGAAAACAGUGUCUUUUUAAAAAGUACAGCAUAUAAAGAGGCCUUGCCUCAAGCAGGCUCCUCAGGUCAUGCACUGAAACUGGCAUUUGAGUGGCAGGCUGUGGCCAGUGCUUGGUGUCUAGGGAACAGGCCUGACAUAGUGCUAGCUGAGUGCCUGAAGAUUCUCCUGCAGGACACACACAUCCUAGUAGGUAUGGCCCUGCAGAGUCCACCCCUCGGUACUCUUCCAGUUAGCUUCCCAGUGUUCCGGCUUUCCUGGCAGAUGUGUCUUCUGAGUGUCUGUGAUGAAGGUGUGGUGUUCUAAUGGCCUCUGGGUAACAGCUGUGGGUAAUCCCAGCCGUCUUCAGCAGUUUUCUUGGUGUGUGAUUUGCUGGUUGGAAUGAGAGGGAGCGAAGUAGAGAUGAAGGUGGCGUGGUGAAAAACUAACUGGAGCAAUGAUCUUGGCACAAGUCAUGCUGGCCUGGCUUGGCCACCUACUCGCAAGCUCACUGUGUGGGGUUAGCACUUCACCUCUCAGAGCUCAGCCAGGUUUUAGGCCCUCUGUUCUGGUGCCAGGUCCUUGCUUUAAGUGGGGCUUUUGUCCUUCCCAGUUCAGGACCCAGGUGGCCCCACACCUGAUCAGCGUUGGUGAUAUAGUUUUCGGAGUCCUUCUCUCUGACUCCCACUCCCUUUCUGUAAGCUCCGUAAGUGGUGACUUGGGUUCCAAAUUGUUCUUAGAAAAUUCCUGGGUCCAUCUUUCAUCUCCCAACAUCAUGAAAUGAACAAACCAGAAGGGGUCAGUGGGAGCAUCCUUUGUAUGUGAACCUGGACCUCUCAGCGGCUGCUGCUGCCAGGAUCCAGCCACACAAGGAGUAGACUACAUAGCACAACAGCAACCUCUUAUUCCACUCAUGUGGCCUGAGGCAUGAAUGGCGCCUCCAGGGAGUACACUGGGGCGAUCCUGAGCAGUCUGCUUCCUACCACUGCAUUCCCAUCUGGCUUCACAAGCUCCUUGGCUAGCCAUCCAUCUCCAACUCCCAUCUUCCCACUCUUUCCCCUUAAAAUACAUUACAUUUACAUGGCACUGGGGACAUUCUUGUAGGCGUGGGGGAGGAGGCGCUGGGGGUGGGGUCAGAGUGUUGAUGGGGCUUAGAUCCAUUUCCAUUCACAGUCUAUUUUUUUUUUGAAUGGGAAUCUUUCUAAUAUUGUUUUCCCUUUUAAGAAUAAAAGUAACCUAGGUUUUUGCUUACCUCAGACUAAUAAUCCUUCUGUCCCAGUCUUCUAAGUGUUUUUACUGCUGAGAUUACAGGCAUGUGCCACCGUACAACAUUUAAAGUUAGAGUUGGAUCCAGGUUGGUAUAUAUCCCCAGUGUGUUUGCUCACUGGAAGCACAGCUCUGUGCAGUUGGGACAGGGUUGGCUUCAGUUCUAUGUGCUCUUUGGAAAUGAGAGAAGAUGAAAGCAGAAGCCUGAGCCCAGGCAUAGGUACCAACCUGGUGGUCUGAGUCCCUGAAUGUUCACCUCCCUUGGGACAUACUGCAGUGACAGGGGUUCCUGUGUGACAGGAACUACCCUAGAGCCCAUGUGUGGAAGCCUGGAAGGCUCUCCUCUCUGCAUCUGUAACAUGCUGUGAUCAAAGUCUGUGGCAUUCCUGAGCCCAGAUGGCUGAGUCAGAGGCCCGUUCACACUGAGCAGUUGCCACGGGAUCCAUCAUUUAUCAUUUGAUCCCUUCCUGGAGCUUUCCAUGGGGGAAAUGGUGGACUUCCCCAGGCAUAAAGCAUGGUUGUCUUCGAUGGAAUUCUGUGAGGGUGAGCUCUGAAACCUGAGGCUCAUACUCUUGGCACUUAACUCCUAGACAGCCACUGAUCUCUUGGCUCUUUGUCUUGUAGCUCAGCCCUGUGCCAGCUGGGGACCUGCUUCAUGUCUAGGCUGGCUCCCUGGUUUUGAUGUUGGUGGCACCACACUGUGUACCACAAAUCCCCAAAUAAUUAAUUCUCACAAGAGCUCAUGAUGGUUUAUGCAAAUCUAUCACUCUCCAUUGGUCCACCAAAUGGAACAUUCCUGUCCCCGUCUCUAGCAAUACUUUAGUUCUGGGCACUCAUUUCUCUUUGUGAGUGUGUGUGCUAUGCAUAUGUUUCUAUAAGUAUGUACAUUUGUGCAUGCAUGUGUGCAGGAAAGCUGGACAUUGUAGAUGUCUGGUGUCUUUCUCUACUUUUUUCCCACAUUAUCUUUUGAGAUAUGAUUCAUUGCCAAACUUGGAGCUCACAGAUUCAGUUAGACUGGCUGGCUAGCAAGCUCUAGGGAUCCUCCUGUCUCCACCUGACCACACAAUCCUAUCCCAAGGUUACAGAUCAUGCACUCGUGCUAGGCUUUUGCAUAGAUGCUGAGGAUCUGGACUUGGGUACUCAUGCUGGCGUGGUAGACACUUUACUGACAGCCAUCUCCCCUGCUCUGCUAAGCAGUUUCUUACACAGAUCAGGGCUACUUCACAACCUUAAAAAAUCCACUUUCCUUUCCACUAAACCGUGCCAAUCUGUGUGGAUGAAUUGAUAAUCUUGGAUGGUGCUAUUUAAACAAACAAACAAACAAACAAACAACCCAUCUAGUUAUUUAAUGUGUAUGCAUGUUGUGUAUAUGCACCAUGUGCAGGUGGGUGCCCCUAGAAGCCAGGAAAGGGCAUUUAUCCCUUGGCACAGGAGUUAGAGAUCUUAUGUGAGUGCUGGGAAUUGAACAUUGGUCCCCUGUGAGAGUAGCAAAUGCUCUUAACUGCUGAGCCAUCUCUCUAGUCCCCAUCUUGUACUACUUUUAAAGACUGUUAAUAUACAUCCAUGAAAUACUUUCGAGCAUAUAUGACCUUUUAUCUAUGUGACUUUAUCUUUGGCCCUUAGGAAGGACUGCUAUGACAAGACCAAUAUACCACCUGCCUCUGGAGUUUAACAGGGAUACAUUCUACUGUGGAUGGUAUACCUACUCCCUAUGUCUAUGAUGAAACUCUUCCUGCAGAGUAACUGUAUGGGAAAACAGGUCUUUUGGGUGAAUAAUUUAAUGUUAAAUAAGAACAUAGGGUCUGUCCUGGUGUCUUUAUAAGAAGAGGGAGAGACACAGACCUCUCUGUCCCUAUGUAUACAGAGAAGGGCUUUCUGAGAACAGCAGGGGAAGUAAGUCUUGAAUAAAGUCUUGUCAGAAACCAGCCCUGGCAUCUUGGACUUCCAGCCCCCAGAGCCAUGAGGAAGUAGGUAUCUUUCGUUUAAGCCUCUGAGUCUUAUAUGCCUUGUGAUGGCAUGUAUUGAGCAACUGGGCUUGGUCAGUGAGUUCUUGUUAGAAUUCAUCUUUAAGAUUAAUCUAUAGCUGGAAAGAUUUUCCCUCCUAAAACCAGGUCAAGGGCCUAAAUUUCUAGACCAUCCAUAUCUACUCUAAUGAGUGUGUCCCAUCUGCCACGGCUGCUACUCACAUUUCACAGAAGGGGAAAUCAAGUCAAGAGGUCAUGGCACAGGUCAGAGUUAUUUUACCACCUUAAAAGCCUCCUGUCCCCCUGACUAAAAAUAUAUUCCACAAGUGGUGGAGUCUUGGCCUUGAAAUCUAUUUUUUGGGUUAAAUCCCUGGGUCAUCAAAGUUACUUAGCACUCCACGACUCCUGGAUAGGAAUUGUGUCUGAGUUUUGAGGUUUCCUUCCUGGGCUUAGAGUCUUUGAUGACCAAUUUCCUCUGUCAACUUGACUGGAUUUGGAGCCACUUGGGAGACAUACCUCUGGGUGGGUCUGUAGUGUGUUUCCAGACAGGUUUAAUUGAGAAGACCCACCCAGACUCUGUGGUAGCAGCUUAUGGGUAAGAAAUGAAUAUAAAGGGAAAAGGGAGAGAGCUAAGUGGUUUCAGCAUUAGCCCUUGUUUCCUGACUAUGGAUACAAUGUGACCAACUGCCUCACCCUGGCUAUGGAUACAAUGUGACCAACUACACCACCCUGGCUAUGGAUACAAUGUGACCAACUGCACCACCCUGGCUAUGGAUACAAUGUGACCAGCUGCCUCACCCUGGCUAUGGAUACAAUGUGACCAACUGCACCACCCGGGCUAUGGAUACAAUGUGACCAACUACACCACCCUGGCUAUGGAUACAAUGUGACCAGCUGCCUCACCCUGGCUAUGGAUACAAUGUGACCAGCUGCAUCACCCUGGCUAUGGAUACAAUGUGACCAACUGCACCACCCUGGCUAUGGAUACAAUGUGACCAACUGCACCACCCUGGCUAUGGAUACAAUGUGACCAGCUGCCUCACCCUGGCUAUGGAUACAAUGUGACCAGCUGCAUCACCCUGGCUAUGGAUACAAUGUGACCAACUGCACCACCCGGGCUAUGGAUACAAUGUGACCAGCUGCAUCACCCUGGCUAUGGAUACAAUGUGACCAGCUGCAUCACCCUGGCUAUGGAUACAAUGUGACCAACUGCAUCACCCCCCCCCCCACCUUUUCUUCCCAACCAUGAUUGACUGGAUCCCUGUAAACUGUGAGCCAAAUUUAAUCCUUCAUCCCUUGAGUUGCUGUUUGUCAGGCUUUUUUUUUUUUUUUUUUUUUUUUUUUUUUUUUUUUUCAUAGCUUGAGAAAAAGUGAGAAAUUCAGAGGCUGAAUUUGGAUCUUUGGCCAUGGGCCAUGGCUCUGCUUCCCAGGUGAGCCUGUGAGAUAUGGCUGUAGAGAGUGGAAUGUCUGUAUUUUCCACCAAAAGAGAGCCGGGUGGCAGGAUGGGGCCUGGCCACAGGCUUCCUCACUUUUCCAGUUGGGCCCUGCAAUGACCUGAACUGUUACUUUCUCAGGUGGCUCAAUGGAGCAAGGUCAAUUUUUGUAGACAAUACCUGUGACAGGUGAUGCUGCGAAGCCCAUGGAACUUUAGGACUCUGCAGGUCUGGAGUUUCAUUCUCAGCUCUGUUUCUGGAUGUGUAGGCACAGAUACCAACCUUCAGGUUUACUCUGGAGACCAAAGGGAAAGUCCUGGGGGGAGGGUUAGCAAGGUACUUGUCAGCAUGGGGGAGGGGUGGUAAGAAGAUUGGGCUACAGCCUCAGGCAAACGUGGGCUUGGACUCCAGUUCUUUCAUGUGGUUACCCAGUCUCCCCAUCAGUAAGUUAGGAUUACCAGCUGCUCCCAUUGCAGUGCGGAUUCUCUAUCUAUCAGUUAGGAUGUACAUGUUUUUACCUCCAAAAAUGUCUGUAAUGCAUUAUCAUCAGUGACCUCAGCACUGUGUUCUAGUUUCUCUCUUGUUUCCAACUGGCACAUAGAAUACCCAUGACUCUUACGGUCAUCAUGGUUAGCUUAGAUUUGAUGAGCAUGGUAACUGAGUUCAUGGUUGCCAAGGGCUCUGCACAAUGCCUACUGUGGAGCAGGUGUUCAGUUAAUUGCAGCUGUGGUCAUUGUACUGUGGGAGUCUUGGGAAGGUUUAAAAUAUCUCUGGGCCUUGCUUUCCUUAUUCACACAAUGGCUAUACUGAUAUUUAGGGCAUAGGGUCAGAGAUACUAUUAAAUAAGUUAGCACAUAGACUGUCAUAUUCACACCAUUUGUCAUGGAGUUAAGGCUCAGAGGUGGCAGCGGCGGUGGUGCUUCUUCUUCUUCUUCUUCUUCUUCUUCUUCUUCUUCUUCUUCUUCUUCUUCUUCUUCUUCUUCUUCUUCUUCUCCUUCUCCUCCUCCUCCUCCUUCUCCUCCUCCUCCUCCUCCUCCUUCUCCUCCUCCUCCUUCUUCUGCAUCUUCUUCCUCUUUCUCCUCCUCCUCUUCUUCCUCUUCCUUCUCCACCCCCCUCCUCUUCCUCCUCCACCACCUCCUCCUCCUUCUUCACCUUCUCCUCCUCCUUCUUCUCCUUUCUUCUUCUGGAACAGCACUUUCUUCUUGUGGAGUGUAAGGUGAGGAGAAGGGAGGUGUUCACCUUGCCUGAGCUCUUGGGACCUGCUGGAUGAUGUGUCUCUUGCUCAGUGCUUCCCCCUUGUGGGGGAAAAUAGAGCCUGCACUAGGAAGCUGUAACUGUAACCUCCAUAGAGUCUCUUUGAACCUUCUCCAUAGAGUCUCUUUAUACCUGAAGGUGGUGACCAUUGGAAAAUUUCCCAGGCUACAGAUGUAGAUUCAGAGACCACCUGCAGCCUCCACUCAUCUCUCAGGAGAACUUGCUUCCAUAUGGGGGAUGUGUAGCAUCAGGGGUGGUGAACUGAAGUAGCAACAUCCCUUGUUCUGAGUGCUUAAGAGCUACAUUUGGGACUUAGUCCUGAAUCUGAAUGACCAUGGCCACUGGAUAGCUCAUCUCCAAGUUUUAGAGCCUCCCAUAUGUACAGUUAGCACAAGUGCAGGUUUGGCAAAAAGAGGAUGCUCAAACGAGUGGGGUCACCACAUGUGCUUGCCUUCUCAAGGGUGGAAGCUUUAGAGAGAGUGUGGGAAGAUCAUAAGCAACACUGACUUCAGCCACAAAAUGCCCAGAUGCUCUUUCUGCUGCUGUGAUAAGAUGGUCCUUGAAGCAGGCUUUCUCCUUCAAGUCUCUACCAUCUCAGAUAAGCAGUUUCAAGCAACUCCUGGGAACUAGCCUUCCAAAGUGGUAUGAGUCACGUCUCCGUCACAACUCUGAGACAGUGGCACAGUCAUGACAGGAGAAGAGCUGAGUGGAGAUCAUGACUAAUACCCAUCCAUCGACACUCUACAGAGAUCUAUAUGAGGGAGGACUGUUGGUAUCCCUGUCACACAGGCAAGAAGACUGCAGCAGAGACACGAAGAAUCCUGCCUGAAAUUCCACUUCUGGGGAUAGCCUGAUGUUGAGGUCACGAACCAGUCUCCUAUGUUCCUCACAACCAAGUGGUCUUGCUUGUUCUAAUACCAGGUGACAACUAGUGGCCUAGGGAAGAAGAUGGCUUUAUUAGAGACUCAUUGGGAGAUUCCUGUCCCAGGAAUCUCUGCUCAAGACUCCUUUUACUAUUGAUGAAGACAUACCACCAUCCCACAGAUGAAAUGAUUGAUGCCCACAGAUCCUAGGUGAUUGGCUCAAGACCACAUGAACCCACAGCUUCAGGCCCCUGGUCCUGUUACACAGUGAACCUACUCUUCCCAUCUUCACCCCUGCCAGCUCUCUUUCUGAGUCACUGCCAUGCUUCUUAUUGGAAGGAGAGGAUGACCUCAUAUCCUGAGGACUAGACCCCACAGUCAACUAGCACAUAGUUAUGGCCCUGAGGGUUUAAAUUUGAGUCGUUCCCAGUUGCUUAAAAACAAACAUAAGGCCUGAGGAGUUUAGCUCAGUUGAUUGAGUGCUUGCCUAGCAUGCAUGAAACCCUGGGUUCCAUCCCAAGCACUGCAGAAAACCAGGCAUAGAAGAGUAUCCACAAUCUUAGCACUAAAGGGGUAGAUGCAGGAGGAGGAGAAUUCAAUAUCAUUCUUGCUACAUGGGUAGCUCAAGGUCAACCAACAAUACAGGAAACUGUCUCAAGCCACCACCUCCUCCUUCUCUUCCACCACCACCACCACCACCACCACCACCCCAAACUUGAUUUAUCUCUGGUGCUUUCCAGAUAAUUCCUAGGUAGGAACUGGUGGGGACUAUGUUAGGAGUAGAAAGAUGCAGUAGGUUGGAGGGAGAUAGUCUAAGUUCUUCCCACUUUCAGGCUGGGUGGCCUUGAGCAAGAUGUUGACCCUCUUUGAAUGUCACUUCUCUUUACAUGACACAGGAAAUCAACCUGCAUAUUGGAGGGCUUUGAUGAGAUGAUGUGCAAACAGAACCCAGUAUUUCCCUAAUGGUAUGUCGGAUGCUCAAUAGAUACAUAUAUUCAUAUCUGUACAUACAAACACAGGCACACCACAUACACACAUACACAACAUACAAUACACACAUACACCACACACACACACAUGCACAAUGCACCACACACAAACACACAAAUUGCACAUACACACAUGACACUCACAUACACACACAUACCACACGUACAUACAUACACCACACACACAUAUCAGACUCACAUACACACACAUAUCAUACACACAUACACACCACACAUACAUACACCACACACAUACACACAAACAUAUACAUACAUACAUACACAUACUACACUCACAUCCACACAUACCACAUCCACACAUCCACACAUAUAUCACACAUAUACAUACACCACACACACACAUCACUAUACACACACACUACAUGAACAUACACACAUACCACACACACAUACAUACAUGCACAUAUAUACAACACACACAUACAUUCAGACAUACACACACACACAUAUACACAUACUACACACACAUACACACAAACUAUAUACACACACCACAUGAACACACCACAUACACACAUACACAACAUACAAUACACACAUACACCACACACACACCACAUGCACAAUGCACCACACACAAACACACAAAUUGCACAUACACACAUACCACACAUACCUACACAUAUAUACAUAUACCACACACACAUACACACAUACCACACAAUACAUACAUACAUACAUGCACAUAUACACAACACACACAUUCAGACAUACACACAUUCAGACAUACACACACAACACACAUAUACACAUAUAUACACAUACUACACACACAUACACACAAACUACACACACACACCACAUGAACAUACACUCACACCACACACACACACAUACAUACAUACAUGCACAUAUACACAACACACACAUUCAGACAUACACACAUACCACACAUACAUACACAUAUAUACAUAUACCACACACACAUACACACAUACCACACAAUACAUACAUACAUACAUGCAUGCACAUAUAUACAACACACACAUUCAGACAUACACACAUACCACAUAUACAUACACAUAUAUACACAUACCACACAGACAUACACACAUACCACACACACAUACACACCACACAAACACACACACAUACCAUACACACACACACACACACACACACACACACACACACACACACUUCUUUUUUUGACUUAAGCAAGUCUAAUCUGUAAAGCCUCACCCAAGUUCUCUCUGGUCAAGAGCAGAAAUUAUUUCAAUUAUUUAAGGAUCUGUAAUUUUUCCAGGUUUAACCCUGUAUCCUUUAAGUGGCAGUUACAUGUGUGGGCUGCCAUGCUUGUUUAGGAACCAUUAGCUGCUUGACAGUGACGUUAGUCGGAAGAGAGAAUGAGCAGGACCCGCGUCAUUGAAAGCCAUAGGCUGCUAAGAGCCAAAUGGGACUUGAGGGGAAAAAUAGAUCUGAAAGACUAACCUAAGGGGAAAAAUCAUUUAUAAAUACCAAUCUCACUCUUUUUCCCAGGAACCAUCCUCCUGUUGUUCAAAGCAAGCUAUAAAUGCAGAGUGGGGUGCCUCCAGACGUUUCUCCCUAAACUUUGCAAGCGCAGAGACAGGUGACUGGAAUGGGCUUUCCCCACGUAAGAUGCCAAGGUUGUAAUUGCUAAUUCUUCUGGUCGUAAUUUAUCCUGCUGUCCCGGUGGGUAGCUAAACAGCUCUGAUCACGAACUGCCCAAUCGGCUUAUAAGUCUUCUUGAUGAAUCUCUCUCAUUGUCACGCUCCUUUCUCUAGGCUGCGGUAAUUCUUGACAACUGUCUUACAGCUGCUGUCUCCUGUGGCUGCAGAGGGGACGAGUCAUCCAUUAGGAAGCACACAUGGUUAGGAGCAAGCUCCUGGCGUUGAGGGAUGGCAGGUGGAGGACAAAGCUCUUGUCUCAGGAUGGAGAAGAGGGUAUUAGAGUCUGCCAAGUGACCUCUGGGAUGUGAGACACACCUGGUUCAAGGUCUUUGUGUGUGUAUGUUGUAUUGUAUUGUAUUGUAUUGUUUUGUAUUGUAUGUGAGUCUGUGUAUGUGGGUCAGAGGUCAACCUCAGGUGCCCCAGAACCCAACUAUUUCUAUGUCUCUACUGUCGGGAUUAAAAGUAUGUCCCAUCCUAUGAUCUCAGCCCUGUUAUUAGCAGGACCUAUCCUUAUUUAUUUAUGUUUUCAAAUGUAGGUUCUGGAGUGGAGCGCAGAUCCUCACGCUUCCGAGGUGAGCCCUUACUCACUACCCUGUUUUUCCAGCCCCGACGUGUUUUGUUUGUUUGUUUGUGUUUGGUUUUGGUUUUUUUAGGCAAAGCUUCAGAUGACCCAGGCUGAAUUGAAAUCUUUCUCUGUGGCAGAGGAUGGCCUUGAAUCUGAAUCCUCUUGCUUCUACUUCCCAAGUAUUGGGAUUAUGGGUGUUGCCUCACUGUGUCUGGCUGAUCUGGGGUCUUUUGGAUCAAGACCUGCAUCUUCAGUAAGAAAACACUCCAUACUGAUUUGUGAUCAGACUGCUCAGAUGAACCAGGGCAGCACCACAGAGCCUGUGGGCGCCCCAAGACUGGAGUUCUCAACUUCGUCCUGUGUUAGAUGCUUGUCCCAGGCCUGCUCAGUCUUGGUGAAGUAUGUGACUGGUUCUCCCUACAAGUGAGGUGGGACCCCAGGCUAAGGCUAGAUAAGCUCUUUUUCCUUCUGACCGCAGAAAGGAGACAAAGCUAAAACCUGGGGGAGAGCAGAGCCACAACAUGGGAGGAUCCCGGGUCCCUGAAUGACUUCAUGGAACACUGCCUCUUAUAGUCGGGGGGAGGAUAAACCUUUAUUGGGCUGUUUUUCAGACAGAAGGGCUGGUCAUUAUGGAAGUUAGCCUCCCUGCCUAAACAGGUGGUGCUUGAAAUGAACUCAGAUUUUCCAACUGAAGGACAUGCCAAGUAGGGGCUAGCAAGAGGGAAUUUACUAACCAGAUAGUAUAUCGAAAUGUCUUUUUGAUAGUUGCGUGGAAGUCCAGAGUAUAAUUUGAAGAACAGUGGAGACAUGGGGUCUUAAUUUUUAGGCCUGAUAAAGUGUUCAUGUUAGGAGUUAGAAGGGAAGCAUGCCUCUUCACAGGAUUCCCUCCCCUCUUCUCUCUCUCUCCCCCACCGAAUGUAUAUGUCCUACAGAGCUCCUCUCCCCAAGCCACACGGAUGUCCCCUGUUCUCCACACCUUGAGACUGCCAUGCCUCUCUCACAUUACUGCAACAGCGUCCUGCCUCUUCCUCCUCUGUGCCCACACUCUCGCAACCCUAUGUUUCAAAACAACUUAAAAAAUAACAACAACAACAACAACAAUGUAUCUGUUUAUUUGUGUAUGCAUGCACACACAGGCACAGUGACUCACGUGUGAAGGCCAGAGGACAACUUUUCUCCUACCACGUGGAUACUGGGACCAAAUUCUGGUGGUCGGUGGUCAGGUUUGGCCAGCAAGUGCCUUUCCCUGCUAAGCCAACUUCACCUUUCUACAGCGCAGGCCAGGUCAUGUCCUCUCAUCAGUAAAACCCAAGCUCCGUUUCUUCAGGAGGCCGCCAGGGUCUGUGCUCUUGUCUUUACUGUCUUCCCUCCUCUCCCUAAUGGUCUUAGGACUUUUCUAACGUCAGUCUUUAGCUCUCUGACUAAAUUGUCCUUCCUGCCUGUUGGUCUGCAUCCACCUGCCCAGGGUCUGGGUCUGCUGGUGCUCCUCUAUCAGGACCGUGCUGGGUCCACAUCUCCUGUCUUUGGCUCCUUUCCAGGCCUGAGCUUUACCCCACCUGUUACAUCAUACUUAUUGGCUCACAUGCAUACCUCCAGAUUUUGAGAAGGGAGGCAGGGGGUGGUGGUGGUGGGGAGUUUUUUUCUCAGAGUUGGCCUAAGGCUGUGUCUCAACUGAUAAAACCUGCAGGCCCUGUUACUGCCAAGCCAGUUACCAAGGCAACUUUCCCUCCGUGGGUCCCAGUUUCUCCGUGAGUAAAAAUGGUCUCUGUAGGCUUUCCCAGUUCAGCAUUUCAGGAUUCUGUGAUUUUUUUUUAUCAUGGUCACGUGAGGGAGAUCAAUACUCAGAGUUUUCCUGAGCUGUGUCUGCGAGCUUCAAUUCGUCAGGCGAGUGUCUGGGGGGACGCACGCGCCUCGCAGCACCGCCUGAUGCCGGAGAGAAUUUAUCAUUCUGGAAAAGCUUAUGGUGCAGGUUUAGUGAGUGCGGCGUCGAAGGCAUUCGUGACUCAUUUAUCCAGCAAACGCAGCUUCCUUAUUUAGACUUGAGUCAGUUGGCUGGGGUAAGAUGCCCUCUUUGAUUCAUCCCGAUGAGAAAUAGGUAUGGCCAAUUAUGCCUUGACCCAGGAGGAAAGGACAUCGGCCAGCUGGUACUGUCAUCUCUGCUCCUUACCCGAGCCUCCUACUUCAGGGUGGGUGUCAGGCAGGCGAGGGACACAUUGCAUGGCAGCCUGUGAUUAGGUAUGGGAGCUCCAUCAGCACUGGCCACAUGCCUGGGACAAGCUUUGGCUCUUUGACCCAACUCAUUUCGGUCCCUGGCUGAAGCUGCACCGCAUGCUUCUCUGAGGGGUGAGACUGAAGUAGUUUGUUUCUCUCUGUGGUGGUGGUGGUAGUGGUGGGGCAAGUCAGUUCACACAGUGGAGUUCCACUCCUAGGUUUAACAGGUCUCAAAUGGUGAGAUCUGCGUGGUUGCAUAUGGUGCUGGAAGACCUUCCUCCUCUGGCCUUUGUGCACACGGUGGUGCACGAACACAUGUACAUGUACAUGUCUGUCUGUCUGUCUGUCUGUCACACACACACACACACACACACACAGAUGAACAUCUAUCCUUGAAGACAAGGUUAAACAGACAAGGUUAAACUUUUCCUAGUCUAGCCUUACCACGGGGUCUUAUAAAAGUCAGGCCCCACACUAUUUGCCUGCUGUAUUCUGCCUGAGUGCCUACGAGGGAAGUUAUAUGGUAAGCACCCAUGAGUUCUCCUGCAGGAACAUGGUAACUACUGGUCAAGCUGUUGAUGGUGGGUGCUUAGGUGAAUGGAUGGAUGGGUGAACUGAUGGAUGGGUGGAUGGUGGACCAUGAGGUUCUGCUGGGGAUGCACACAGGAUAUGAAGGGGAGAUGGGGAAUGCAGGAGCAGGUUUGAGGCUGGGGGGGGGGUAGUGAUAAGCAGCCAGGACUAGAUCAGGUAUCAGAUGAAGUGGUCAGUGCUUGGAAGAGGCUCAGAGAAGUCAAUGGGGUCCUUAGGGUGAGGCCCAGGGAAGAAAGGAGUAGAAUAGAGGUGGCAGGUGUCACAUGCCAUUAAGAGGGAUAGAAGAGUCCUAGAGGGUCAGUCAUGAUUAUACCAUUAGUGAGAUAGAAGCCUCUCCCAUUAUCCUCCAACAUCACCUAUGGCUCUUAGGUGCCUAUAUCCUCACAUGGGUUUCUUCCCAUCUGCACCGGAAAUAAGCCAAAUGCUCAGUGAAUCAAACAGGAGAUGCAAUGGAGUCCCACAGGAAUUCUUACUUAUGAUGAGCAAGGCUCUCUUAGGCUGAGUGUUUGUGGCAAAUAGAUCUUGUGUAUGGGUGUGUAUGUGAGUGUGUUGGGUGGAGGGGGGAUGUUGUAACAUUUAUCAGAACAUUUCUUGAAGUACUUUACUAUUUUUGAAGAGUACUUUACUCAUUGUUGGUGUGUUGAUGGUACUGAUCCACAGAUGAAACAAAAUGUCACAGGAGUGCUAAAAUCUGGCAGUGGACCCUGGGAUGUUUCCUUUGAAGAUAAAGACUAUCUGGAUAGAUGGCUACAGAAUUGCAGAAUAAUGGGAAACAUUAAAACGUUUGAGAGGGACCGAAGUUAACAUCAUAGUCCAUCAAACUCAGGAUGCUAAACAAUUUAAGACACUAUGCAUAGUACUGAGAAAGAAAUUCUCCCCCAGUGUCGAGAGGCCAUCCCUUGGAGAAAUUAAACCAGGUGGACGCACUAGAGUCUUUGCUAGGCCCCCACGGUCUUCUUGCUCUGUGACUGCUGGGAUGGCAGGAAGCUGAACUGACACAUGAUGUCGUUUUAUUUCUGAGGGAAUGUGCUGGAGCUGGUAUCAGUCUCCCGGUGGAGGAGGGAGGAUUCUUUGCAAGCUGUAGACUCCUGUGGACCCCUUUAGACUCAGUCUCAUUUUCCAUAGCAGGCUGAACCCAUGGGGAGGGAUCUAGUAUCCCCUAGAAGUAUAUUUCUACCAAGAAACCUCCAGCCUGGGCUUUUGGCCUGUUAGGUAUCUGAUUUUCUAUUCAGUACAUCUUUCCCUUUCUAUUCAGGAAAUUCAUAAGUUAAAUUGAUUCCCAGGUGGCACUCCAGGCCUUUCUGCCCUUGGCCUUUCUUCCCUAGAGUCCAAAGUACAGCACUAACUUUGGCUUCCCUAUCUCUCGUUUCCUCCGUGAUAAAUGGUGAAGUUAAUUGCAGAGCAGUGCUGGAUCACCCAAGGCCCUGUGCUCAGCCCAGGCUGCAUCAGAAUCACCUGGAGACAUUUUUAGACACGGCAGGCACUGUGCUCACCCCAGAGAUGGGAAACUAGUCUUUUUUUUUUUUUUUUUUAACCAGAACUCCAGGAUUAGGGGUUUGCAAAAGGUCUUAAAGGGCUUGACUCCCAUAACUAGGCUGAGAGCCAUGCAUCUAGACCAUGCUACCAGGAAGACGGGAAAAGUGAGGUUCACAAGGCUGAGCCAUGUGUCUCUGGUCACACAGCUGGCUGCAGAGGCAGGGCUAGGCUUUGGUUUUUGGCAUACUGUUACACUGUUACAGUCUUUUUUUUUUUUUUUAAAGAUCUAGGUAAUCACCCCUUGAGUCACUGUUAUAGGCACAGGUAGUCACACAAUGAGGGCCACACCUCUGAGAUAGAUUUAUGCUAUAUUAGAAAAUACAGGCAGACACCAACCAUGGAACUUAGAAAGGAACUGAAGGAAAAGGGCUGUCGUUUACUGUGGCAGCCUGGAUGCUGUGUGGUGACUGUUUGGGGUAGGGGUGGAGAAGGUAACCCUUUUCUGGUUUAAGUCUCCUUUGCAGAAUGGGCAUAUUGACACAGUUCACAUGCCUGGUACCCAGACUCUAGCCAUGCCGGAGGUAUCAGAGAGCCCUUUACAAUGGCCGGUGCCAGAGAACUUGAUGACGCCUUAGCCUAGUGCCAGGGGCUCAGGGAUAGGCGGCCUGGGCUAUGAUGCUUACCUGCCAGUGAACAACAGCAGGAACGGAUGAGGUAAUGGGAGAGGAGAGAGAUGCCCUUCAGGAAGAAAUCAAUGUAUGGCAGGGACUUAUGGAGGUAAGGGGAUAUGCUCAGCAUACAACACAGAAUUGUAUAAAAAGUUAAAAUAAAUUUCAGAAACAAGUACUUGUGUGCUCAGGCGGUCAGUUAGCUUUGAGUGAAGAUUCUGUCUUUUAGCUCAGUCCUUAAUGAGAUUCUUCAAAGACCCAGCAAGGGGGUACUCUUGGUACUCUUGGAUAUUGUUGAAUAAUUAAACAUUGGAAUAUGUACUUUUGGAAUAUUACUAUUUUAAAAAGUGCCCAUUUUGGACAGUAAAACUUACAUUAAUUUCUUUUCUUUCUUAUUGAAGCUUCAUAAUGUUGAGGAAUGAAAUGUCCCAGGGCAGCUGCCAUCAUGGAGGGGGCGUGAAUGUUCUCAGCUUUCCCCUCUGCUCAAGAAACCUCUGGUGGGCUAGAGAACCAAAGUACAGUGGCCUGAGGCUGGCAAAUCUGAAGUUGGAACCCUAUCUUGAAGCUCACAGGUGUGGCAGCUCAAUGGACCCUGUUCAUCAUGGAAUUCUCUCCUGUCUGGCCUAUAGUGGGUGUCUGAAGCCUGGUACCCCACCUGUUAUGGACUUUGCCCUGCCCUCUCUGAGCUGGUAUACCUGCUGCAUCCAGGCACUCUAGGAGGAGAGGUGGGACUGGACCCAUACCCUGAUAUCUCUGAUGUCCUAAUGCCUCUAAUGUAUAGCAGAAUCACAAGGAAAUGCACAGUUGAUUCACCUGCAUCUGAGAAAGCUUUCUGUAUGGCAGCAUUCAGGCCAGUAGAGAGACAUUAGGAGCCAGAGGAGCUGGAAUUUAGAGAAACAGAGGAGAGUGGGCAGAGGAACGGGAUCAGGAGGUUGAGGGGCACACCGUGAACUCUGACAACUCCACAGCUGCCACACACCCAGAUCACAGAGUCCUGGAGUUCUGGAAUCAUGGAACCAAUCAUGUCUAAAGAAUAAAUCAUGUUUUAUUCUUUAGAGAGUGUGGGGCAAUCGUGCAAGCUUGGGAGAGGAUGGGGCAGGACCAGGGCUAUCUGUGGAGUCCGUCUGUGCAGAAGAAUUCAGUUGCACCAAAUGUGCCCAGGACUUCUGUUGGGAUAGUCAUAAGCAGGAACAUCACAAGCUUUAAAAAGAAGAGAAAGGGGCUGGCGAGAGGACUCAGCCAGUAAAGUGCUUGCCAUGCAAGCUUGAGAACCUGAAUUUGGACCCCCAGCACCAUUAUAAAAACUACAGAUGGCUACGUAUAGGUCUUUAAUGCCAGUUCUGGGGUAGUGGUGACAGAAGGAUCUCUGGUACUCACUGGCUAGAAGGACCAGGUGAAUCACUAAGCACCAGGUUCAGUGAGACCUUGCCUUAAAAAACAAAACAAACCAAACAAACAAAAAACUCAGGUGGAAAGUUACUAAAUAAGGCACUUGAAAUCUGGCUUCUACAUAAAUGUGUGUGUGUGUGUGUGUGUGUGUGUGUGUGUGUGUGUGUG